rnacentral:tRNA from 1 species
GCUUAAAUAAUUUAAAAAAAAUACUGGUCUUGUAAAUCAGCAAUGAGUUAAAACUCUUUUAGCA